CCUACGGGGGGCAGCAGUGGGGAAUAUUGGACAAUGGGCGAAAGCCUGAUCCAGCCAUGCCGCGUGUGUGAAGAAGGCCUUCGGGUUGUAAAGCACUUUCAGUGGGGAAGAAAGCCUUGGGGCUAAUACCCUCGAGGAAGGACAUCACCCACAGAAGAAGCACCGGCUAACUCCGUGCCAGCAGCCGCGGUAAUACGGAGGGUGCGAGCGUUAAUCGGAAUUACUGGGCGUAAAGCGCGCGUAGGUGGUCUGAUAAGCCGGUUGUGAAAGCCCCGGGCUCAACCUGGGAACGGCAUCCGGAACUGUCAGGCUAGAGUGCAGGAGAGGAAGGUAGAAUUCCCGGUGUAGCGGUGAAAUGCGUAGAGAUCGGGAGGAAUACCAGUGGCGAAGGCGGCCUUCUGGACUGACACUGACGCUGAGGUGCGAAAGCGUGGGUAGCAAACAGGAUUAGAUACCCUAGUAGUC
rnacentral:rRNA from 1 species